rnacentral:rRNA from 1 species
GAUGAACGCUGGCGGCGUGCCUAAUACAUGCAAGUCGAACGAACGGACGAGAAGCUUGCUUCUCUGAUGUUAGCGGCGGACGGGUGAGUAACACGUGGAUAACCUACCUAUAAGACUGGGAUAACUUCGGGAAACCGGAGCUAAUACCGGAUAAUAUUUUGAACCGCAUGGUUCAAAAGUGAAAGACGGUCUUGCUGUCACUUAUAGAUGGAUCCGCGCUGCAUUAGCUAGUUGGUAAGGUAACGGCUUACCAAGGCAACGAUGCAUAGCCGACCUGAGAGGGUGAUCGGCCACACUGGAACUGAGACACGGUCCAGACUCCUACGGGAGGCAGCAGUAGGGAAUCUUCCGCAAUGGGCGAAAGCCUGACGGAGCAACGCCGCGUGAGUAAUGAAGGUCUUCGGAUCGUAAAACUCUGUUAUUAGGGAAGAACAUAUGUGUAAGUAACUGUGCACAUCUUGACGGUACCUAAUCAGAAAGCCACGGCUAACUACGUG